GACUCACGCGGGAAUCUUACCGGGUCCGGACACACUGAGGAUUGACAGAUAUAUACCCCGUGAUUUUAUCGCGGGGUUGAAAGAUGCUAGUUCUUUCAUGAUUAUGUGAUAGGUGGUGCAUGGCCGUUCUUAGUUCGUGGAGUGAUCUGUCUGCUUAAUUGCGUAUCAAUAAUAGAGACCUAGUAUACGCGUAGACUCAUGCGGUAGUGACCCCCCUUCACAGGGCGCGUGUCGCACGUAUGUUAUACGCACAGGUCUCCGAUAGCAACGAACGUGACCGUACUCUAUUGUUGCAGCGACAAUACCUUUCAACGGGUAUUACCGCUGCUUAGCAAGAUUCGUCUUGCAUUAAACUAUAGAGACCGCUGUUUCUUCUUUAAACCAGAGGAAGGAUACGGCAAUAACAGGCUUGUGAUGCAAUGCACUUCUUGGAAUUGACGAAAGGAUGAUAGGUGAUGAAGCUGAAGAAUGAUCGGUGUAGUAUGAACUACGGUGUUAUGCUAGUAGAAAAAAAGUGUGCAAUAAAACAAAAAACUUGUUUGAUUCGUCGGAGGGCUGUAACUUGACCUACCGGACCACCACCUUUUUACAUGUUCCAUCUGCUAAGACACGAAUUACGUC
rnacentral:rRNA from 1 species